rnacentral:snRNA from 1 species
GGAGCUCGGACGCGAGUU